UACGGGGGGAGCAAGCGUUGUUCGGAUUUACUGGGCGUAAAGGGCGCGUAGGCGGCCACUGCAAGUCAGUUGUGAAAUCUCCGGGCUUAACCCGGAAAGGUCAACUGAUACUGCAGGGCUAGAGUGCAGAAGGGGCAACUGGAAUUCUCGGUGUAGCGGUGAAAUGCGUAGAUAUCGAGAGGAACACCUGCGGCGAAGGCGGGUUUCUGGGCCUUACCUGACACUGAGGAGCGAAAGCGUGGGGAGCGAACAGG
rnacentral:rRNA from 1 species